UGCUUUAUAUACUAGAUACUAGAUUACUCCUAGUAGUAUAUUAAUUCAUAUAAUUCAUGCAUGAUAUCGGUCGGUACUAGAUUACUCCCAGUAGUAUUUCCCUCAUCCUCCAUCUUUGGCAGAUUUUGCUUCACAUUUCCUCGCUAGGAUUUGUUUCCCUGGUAGUUUUCGGCACUAAAGUUAAUUAGAAUUUCUUGUAACCGAUCUACCUUCUUCAUUCAGCAUUCUAAACAACUUCAGCCACUUUCUAUGUUGUCACAGUAAGUUGCUUAAUCACCGAUUGUGCAUCAAAGAGGCGGGAAAACUUCGAUGUGUGGCCAUUAAGAACUUCUCGGAACUGUGAAAUAAAUAUACAGUAGAUUGCGAGACGAACAGCUAAUCUAUUGCCAACUAUUCCAUUCAGGUGCACUUCAUUACUUAGAACAAUGUGCUUACU
rnacentral:lncRNA from 7 species